rnacentral:rRNA from 1 species
GACGAACGCUGGAGGCAUGCUUAACACAUGCAAGUCGAACGGAAAGGCCCUGCUUUUGUGGGGUGCUCGAGUGGCGAACGGGUGAGUAACACGUGAGUAACCUGCCCUUGACUUUGGGAUAACUUCAGGAAACUGGGGCUAAUACCGGAUAGGAGCUCCUGCUGCAUGGUGGGGGUUGGAAAGUUUCGGCGGUUGGGGAUGGACUCGCGGCUUAUCGGCUUGUUGGUGGGGUAGUGGCUUACCAAGGCUUUGACGGGUAGCCGGCCUGAGAGGGUGACCGGCCACAUUGGGACUGAGAUACGGCCCAGACUCCUACGGGAGGCAGCAGUGGGGAAUAUUGCACAAUGGGCGGAAGCCUGAUGCAGCAACGCCGCGUGCGGGAUGACGGCCUUCGGGUUGUAAACCGCUUUCGCCUGUGACGAAGCGUGAGUGACGGUAAUGGGUAAAGAAGCACCGGCUAACUACGUG